rnacentral:piRNA from 1 species
UCUGAGCACUUCUUGCCUCUGGUUGUGUG